AGAUAAAUAAAGAAGAUAUUAGACAGUGGUAGGAACUUCCACGACUUCCAGAGAGACUUCAGAAGAAAGAAUUCAAGCAUUUGUGCUUUGGAACAGAGAUUUCUUCUCAUGGCACCCAAAUUUAAGCAGCAGCUUUGCAGAACUGCAGGUAGCUGAGUCAUGCCAGAGGAUGCGGAGGCUUGGUGUAGAAGUAGGUUUGUUUUUAAGGAAAAUAAGCAUUGGGAGUAUUUUUAGCAGGAUUAUGGAACAACUGGUGUAUGAGCAGGGAAGAUGAUGUAAGCUGGGGUGUAAAAACCCAGAGUGACUCUUUAUUGUCAGUCUUCUUGAUAGUGUGAUCAGCUCCUGGUGUUCGCAGUCGUUAAGCGGUCUGCCGUUCUUGAAAUAGUGCAGUUUUGUUAAGGCUGUUUUCUGUUAUCUGCCUUGGCUUGACUCUUGAUAAGAUAUAUCUGGGCAUUUGUUACUUUUGUUUGUUUUCCCUUGAAGAGUGAGGGAGUGACCCUGAAGCUAGAAACUGCCUCUUCAGACUGAAAGCUGGAUGCAAGACUGAAUUGUUAUAAAGAAUGUGCAUUCCUCAGGUCUGAGCAGCUACAUUUGCUGCGAAUGCCCCAGUCCACUUGUGAUUAUGGUAUUCAGACCAAGCAGAGCCAUUCUCCAUGUUCACAGGAGCCACUACCUGCUUGUGUGAAGGACUGAGCGACUGAAUAGAGGACAACACAAAGCAGUUUAGAAAUAUCACAUUGUCUUCUGUGACGUUUUGUUGGAAAUCUCCCUCCCACUCCAAAAAAAAACCCAAAAAAACCCACAAAAAAACCCAAUGAGUAAACAGAGUAAAAAAUCUGCAGCUUAUCACUUUUUUAAUAGGUAAAUAUCUUGCCCUCUGGGAGAUGAAUAGAUUGUGACAGUGAGAAGAACUAUGCUUUGCCAAAUCCUCAUCUGAACAUUGUAUUGCAAAGCCUUAUGUUGUCUUCCAAAAUUACCACCUUUAAAGUCAGAGUUAGUAGCAGUCAGUUUAAAGUCAUGACCGCUUCUGGGCUAGAGUUUUCUUGUGUUCGCUACAGAGGAGACAGGGCUGCAAACAGCUGGACUUGUGCUUAUCUGAUAUUCCUCUCCCCACUCCAGGGUACAGUGGGAUAUCUCCAGGCUUUGCAGUUGUAGGCUGUGAGCCUCUAGGGUGCCGUGUGAGGCAAGACUGGUCCAAAUCUUUCUUGGGAAAGACUGUUGUUUACAUUAAGUUUGCUGAACCCUUCUUGCAAUAUAUGCCCAGGUGUAGGAGGAAGGGGAUGACUUGCUGGGGUAUGGAAAGGAGGAUGGUGAAGGGACCGGAGCAUCUGGCAUGACCACAGAUGAGGCUGCGCUCCCUGGGGGAGCAAGUUGUCCUGUUCCAUUCAGGCCCAUGAAACCUGCUCUAAACAGGACUGUCUCAGGCACCAAGUGGCAUCAAGGGAAAAUGAAAACAUCAGAUCCUGCUGUAAAUAUAAUGAGAUAAAGGUCGUCCAGCUUUGGCUUAUAUGUAAUUCUCCAUGUAACUAUGAACAUUACCUUGUGUUCACUGCAUUGUUCAUAUCAGUUUCCAGACAAGCUUUCAGCCCAUCACCUUUCUCAUGUGAGCCCUUCCUUAUCACAGUAUCACAGUAUGUUUGGGAUUGGAAGGGACCUCAAAAGAUCAUCUAGUCCAAUCCCCCUGCUGGAGC